rnacentral:lncRNA from 1 species
AAAGGCAGUAAAAUUUCGAAAUAUCCCAAAAGGGAUUGAGAUAAAAUUCAAAGAAGAAAGUGUAGGUUUGUGUUACCUUUUUCGAAUUUAACAUUAAAUAGGGCAAUCCAAACUGAGCAUACCGAAAGGGUUUCGCAGAGAUACCUGUUUUGAUCUCCAUAAGCCAACCUGAAAACCCUAGGUAUUGAGUAUAAAAAGGUCGAAGCGGAGGCGAGAAGGGGGGCGACCACAAACAAAAACCCUAAAUCUAGGCGACCAAAAC